CCAGGCGGAAAUAUUUAUUUGAAAAAUUGAAAACACAGAUGCAAUGUAUUAUACAAAGAAAGGUCUUAAUACCAUAAUAAAAGUAUUGUUGGAGGGAAACAGAAGCCAGUGGCCACCUGCCCUGGGAAGGCCUGAGAAUCCAUCUCUUGGCGUUUGAUCUGUGUCAGCGUCAUGCUUGAGAAGUCCAUGUUGUCUGCAAGGAU
rnacentral:lncRNA from 1 species